rnacentral:rRNA from 1 species
AGAUUGAACGCUGGCGGCAUGCCUAACACAUGCAAGUCGAACGGCAGCACAGCAGUAGCAAUACUGUGGGUGGCGAGUGGCGGACGGGUGAGUAAUGCAUCGGGACCUACCUGAACGUGGGGGAUAACGUAGGGAAACUUACGCUAAUACCGCAUACGUCCUACGGGAGAAAGCGGGGGAUCUUCGGACCUCGCGCGGUCAGACGGACCGAUGUUCGAUUAGCUAGUUGGUAAGGUAAUGGCUUACCAAGGCGACGAUCGAUAGCUGGUCUGAGAGGAUGAUCAGCCACACUGGAACUGAGACACGGUCCAGACUCCUACGGGAGGCAGCAGUGGGGAAUAUUGGACAAUGGGCGCAAGCCUGAUCCAGCAAUGCCGCGUGCAGGAGGAAGGUUUUCGGAUCGUAAACUGCUUUUCGUCGGGGACGAGCAAGGACGGUACCCGAGGAACGAAGCCCCGGGCUAACUACGUGCCAGCGAGCCGC